GUUAUAUGUGUCACACGGGACUGCCGGUUUUAAGCCGGAGGAAGGUGGGGAUGACGUCAAGUCAGCAUGGCCUUUAUAUCCUGGGCUACACACACGCUACAAUGGUCGGUACAAUAGGUUGCCAAGCCGCGAGGCGGAGCUAAUCCACAAAGCCGGCCUCAGUUCAGAUUGUAGGCUGCAACUCGCCUGCAUGAAGAUGGAGUUGCUAGUAACCGCAGGUCAGCAAUACUGCGGUGAAUACGUUCCCGGGUCUU
rnacentral:rRNA from 1 species